AUAUGAAGUCAUAGAGUUAGUUGUUGACAUUCAGCACUGCUUACAGGGCUUUGUUGGAGUGGCAAAAGAUCUUAAUGCUAUCGUAAUUGUAUUUAGAGGAACUCAGGAACACAGAUAGAUAUUCUAAUGGCUUAUCUAGUGGUAAUUUAUGUUCAGUGAUAUUUUUCGGCCUUGACUGAUGAAUGGAAUAGGAAAAAAGGUUUGUUCAUGAGUUGUGAUGGUUGGCUGACAGCCACACUGCAUACUAUUUCACCCCAAAAGCUAAGAGAUGGAAUUAAUUAAAAAGAAAAGGAAAGAAAAAGAAUAAAAAAACAAGAGUGUAUUCCCAUAUGAUUAAACAAAAAUUUGCCACAUGAUUUGCACAAGCAUGUCAUCACACAAGCACAAGAUUAUAAAGAGAUUUUUGUGUGCAUGGUUUUGAAUUUCACUUACCUACGCUGAUAGUUAUACGUGUUCAUUGGAUUUGUGAAAAAUGAAUGGAUUGGUUUUUGGAAGGGUUACCCUAAAGUCCAUAAAGUUGACCCAUUGACUUGUUACCCCAAGCAAAGGUCCUAGGUUGAUAUACACAACUUCAAAAUCACAAGACCUUGUUAGAUGAAGUUGAAGAUAACUUCAAUUCUUUUUUUAUCUUUCAUUCCACAAUGCCACUUUGUUCCUCCAAAAUUUGCUCCCUCGAGAACUGUAUGUUUGUCAAUACCUCAAGUUAUGACCUGCCUGAAAGAGUCCCCUUUCAACUCUCAAAUUAUCUAUUGGCUGAGGUGCCUGGAUGAUCCUUAAAGCUAUAUCUAUUCAAAAGCAUUAGUUCUAAAAAUUCAAAAAGAAUGGUUUAAGAUCAUACUUCCUUAGAUUUGGCAUGUAUUAGUACAUCAAAUAUUCCACUUUUCAGUUAGCAGUAAUAUUAUUUCUUUGAUUGUCG